GGGGCUGUGGUUCAGUGGUAAAGCAUUUGUUCUGCACACAGAAGGUCUUGGGUUCAAUCCCCAGGGGCCCCA
rnacentral:tRNA from 1 species